AAAAAGGGCUUCUGUCGUGAGUGGCACACACAGAGCAACUCGAUUGCUCUUCGUGCGGAAUUGACAUCAAGAGAUUUCAGAAGCAUAAUUUUUUGGUAUUUGGGCAGCUGGUGAUCAUUGUUUCCAGCACCCUU
ensembl:snRNA